rnacentral:misc_RNA from 1 species
CGUUCUGUUCAUUAAAUUCUAAAAGCAUUUAAAAAAAUGCUUUAAAGAAAAUGCUCUAAAGUAUUAAACAGCUCUAAAGCGUUUAAGAAAUGUAUCUAAAGCGUUUAAGAAACAAAUAAAGAAGGUGUAAAAAAACAGGUAAAGAAGGCGUUUAAAAAACAUAUCUGUUUCUUAAACAUAUCUUUUGUUUUUUGUUUUCUUUUGUUUGUCCCGGGGAAGGUUUUUGCCAAUUCACUCCUGAGGGCUUGUAGCUCAGUUGGUUAGAGCGCGCGCUU